AUGCUGCAAACAGUCAAAUCUGAACCUUGUCGCUCUUCUUUCCUUGUGGGCAGGAAGCAGACCAGCAACGUGUGUUGCGUGAUUCCACUGUGUUUUUUGCAUUUGACUGAUCCUUCAGUAGAGAAAGACUUCAACGAAAGAAAUCUGGGACAGAUUUGA
rnacentral:rRNA from 1 species